rnacentral:rRNA from 1 species
UAGUUGGUGGGGUAAGGGCUCACCAAGGCGAUGAUAGGUAGCCGGCCUGAGAGGGUGAACGCCCACAAGGGGACUGAGAUACGGCCCUUACUCCUACGGGAGGCAGCAGUGGGGAAUAUUGGACAAUGGGCGAUGUGAGCCUGAUCCAGCAAUUCUGUGUGCACGAGGAAGGUUUUCGGAUUGUAAAGUGCUUUCAGCAGGGAAGAAGGAGAUGACGGUACCUGCAGAAGAAGCGACGGCUAAAUACGUGCCAGCAGCCGCGGUAAUACGUAUGUCGCGAGCGUUAUCCGGAAUUAUUGGGCAUAAAGGGCAUCUAGGCGGCUGAUUAAGUCUGAGGUGAAAACUUUCGGCUCAACCGAGAGCCUGCCUUGGAAACUAAUGCAGCUGGAGUACUGGAGAGGUGGACGGAACUACACGAGUAGAGGUGAAAUUCGUAGAUAUGUGUAGGAAUGCCGAUGAUGAAGAUAGUCCACUGGACAGAAACUGACGCUGAAGUGCGAAAGCUAGGGGAGCGAACAGGAUUAGAUACCCUGGUAGUCCCAGCCGUAAACGAUGAUCACUGGGUGUGGGCAGGGAGACUGUCUGUGCCGAAGCGAAUGCGAUAA